CAGCACUGAUUGCGGUCGAGGUAGCUUGAUG
rnacentral:misc_RNA from 1 species